rnacentral:tRNA from 1 species
GCAGGCGUAGCUCAACGGUAGAGCGCCAGUCUCCGGUAUGCGCAAGGUGCCGGGUCGUGAAGCUGAGGGUGGCCGGUCGGACGGCCACCGCGGUCGAGCGGCGAUUGGGCUGGAGAGUGCGCAAAUUCCCCGACGGAUCCGACCAGGGGAGGGGUUCGAGUCCCGCCGCCUGCA